GAUCAAUAUAGUUGGGGUGCAGAUACAGGCCUUCCCCUAGGGAAACACUUGCAUCAGUAUUAGUGAGAGACCAAGUACACAUCUGAAGCAUUCCUGUGCUUUCUGUCCACUUGUCAGGUGAAGUUGCCACGUAUGGACUGUCCAUCAGCCAGGAGAUGAACCCCCCACCGUGAGGCAGUGACUCAAGGUGCAAGGGAGUCCGGCAAGAAGUGUGGCGCACCCGAGUUGCUGCCACUGCUUUUUGGAUCACCCAGCACGGUGAAGUUGCCACGUAUGACUGUCCAUCAGCCAGGAGAUGAACCCCCACCCGUGAGGCAGUGACUCAAGGUGCAAGGGAGUCCGGCAAGAAGUGUGGCGCACCCGAGUUGCUGCCACUGCUUUUUGGAUCACCCAGCACGGUGAAGUUGCCACGUAUGACUGUCCAUCAGCCAGGAGAUGAACCCCCACCCGUGAGGCAGUGACUCAGGUGCAAGGGAGUCCGGCAAGAAGUGUGGCGCACCCGAGUUGCUGCCACUGCUUUUUGGAUCACCCAGCACGGUCUUCUGAAGUCUUCCUGAAAGCAUCCCUGGUGAUCUGUGAGCCCUUGGUCGUGUUGCCCGCCUUCUUCCUGUGGGUCUUGCUGGAUGCUCAUUGUCCCUGUGAGCCGAGGCCCUGGAGGCUUCAGAUUUAGGU
rnacentral:lncRNA from 1 species